rnacentral:rRNA from 1 species
GAGGGGCCCGCGCCCGAUUAGCUUGUUGGUAGGGUAACGGCCUACCAAGGCUUUGAUCGGUAGCCGGUCUGAGAGGAUGGCCGGCCACACUGGAACUGAGACACGGUCCAGACUCCUACGGGAGGCAGCAGUGGGGAAUCUUGCGCAAUGGGCGAAAGCCUGACGCAGCGACGCCGCGUGGGGGAUGAAGCCUUUCGGGGUGUAAACCCCUUUCGACCCGGACGAAUGGCCCGCAAGGGAAUUGACGGUACGGGUAGAAGAAGCCCCGGCCAACUACGUGCCAGCAGCCGCGGUAAGACGUAGGGGGCCAGCGUUGCUCGGAAUUACUGGGCGUAAAGGGUCCGUAGGCGGUGCGGCAAGUCGGGGGCGAAAUCUCUGGGCUUAACUCAGAGGCUGCCUCCGAAACUGCCGUGCUCGAGUGCGGGAGAGGCGAGCGGAAUUGCAGGUGUAGCGGUGAAAUGCGUAGAUAUCUGCAGG